AAGGUUUACUGAAGUAUAGAGGGUGAAUUCUGCCCAAUGGUUGUAUAGUGAAACUGAGGGCUAACGUCUAAAGCGAAACCCAACUGAAUGGCCGCGGUAACUCUGACCGUGAUAAUGUAGCACAAUAAAUAGCCAAUUAAUUGUUGGCGGGUAUGAAUGGAACCACGAGGGUCUUACUGUCUCAAGAGGAAAGCCGAUGAAAUUAUAAUUGUAGUGAAGAUACUACAUAAACAUUGUAAGACGAAAAGACCCUAUCGAGCUUUACUGGAUACCGAUAGCGUUAAUUUAGAAUGAUCUAUACUAAGUAUCCUAAUUCUAAGUUAAUAAUUUUUGUUGGUAGGACAGUUUAGUUGGGGCGACUACCUUUGAAUAAGAAACGAAGGCGAGCUUAUGGUAUUAUUAAAAUCUCAUUAGCCUCACAGUGAGGGGGACACCCCUAGCUGGCACAAGGAACCACAUAGUAUAUACGUAAUGGGCUCCUAUGUGGGCGAUAGUGACCCGAUAUGAUUAUCCAAAAUAAAUAUCGAAAGCGGAUAAAAGCUACCGUAGGGAUAACAGCGUAAUAUUGUCGGAGAGUUCUUAUCGAGGACAGUGUUUGCGACCUCGAUGUUGAAUUGCGGUGCCCUGGUGCUGUAGAAGGUACCUUAGGUU
rnacentral:rRNA from 1 species